UGGCAUCUCCCUCAGAGCUGUUUUGGCUAUCGGUCCUCCCAGGGCAGGGGAGGGUGCAAUAUCUCUGCUGGCAGUGACGCCCAUAAGGACUGAGUUGAUCACAUCAGUGUAAUCCAGUUGGGACUUUCUGGACAAGUUGGGACCACUGUGUAUAAAGGGUUUCAGCAAAAUUUUGCUCGAGGGGUUUCCCAAACUUGUUCAGAGGGGGAAACAAAAUAGUGCUGUUUAGUACAAAUGACGUGUUGCCAUUUCUAAGCUGCUAAUGAAACACCCUCCCUGAAUCAUUCCCAAUCAAACAUGUAUAUGGUUAACUAAGGCUCUAAUUUGGAUUUUUAUUUAUUUAUUUUUUUUGUGCUGUCUGUUGUCCCAGUGAAAUGAGAGAGGUAAUGACAAGAUCUGCACAGACACUUUAUUUUCCCUGCACCUAUUAUAUUUCUGUAGAUUGAAAGGAGCAGUAGCUGGUUGCGAUAGAAAGAAAAGGUAAAACAAAUGUCUGCAACUUGGGAAAAUAUGCUCUAGAAAAGGUUAUAGAGGUGUUAAUUUUCACAGUGUUUAUUCCAGAAUAGUUCUGAGAGACACACAGUGCAGCCCUAGUCUCUCUGUGACUGUGAUGAGUGUGAGCUGCUCCAUAAAAGCUGCUUCUGGGAUAAGACCUUCAACUACUGCUGGCAACAAAGGAAGAUGUGGGCAUGUGGUCCAUCCUUGGACUGCAGAAGAGGGGCAGACACUUCCCAGAUCUCUCAAGGUUUCUCAUAUAUAACAUUCCCUUCCCGUGCUGUACCAGCUCCACCCUGGCCCCAGUGAGAACAGCUAGAUGUGACAGGCCUGGUGCGGUCAGCGUUGCCUCUUCUGCCUUCCUGCCAAUCAGUAUGGGAACGGACCUGCAGCAGCAUUGAUGAUGUGGAUGAACAUCUGAGUUUAAGCUGUUUUAGGGGGUGAGUAGUCACAGUGCAAAGCCACACACAGUCACUGUGUGCAUUGCAAGGGCUUCUGAGGACUUGUCUCUUGAUAUUUAUGAGUGUGGUAAGCUUGAAUGCUCUGUGAUCCUUUCCUAGUCUUAGACAGGACUUAUCUUCCCUCUUAUCUCAUCACAGGACUGUGGAAGAUGGAGAACUACUGGCCAUGUUGAACGGUUUCAUGUUCACAACCACUGCAAAAUGAAGGGGUUAAGAGCCCUCCACUGAGUUUCACUCAGGAUUUCAUACCCUAAGGCAGGCCAGGGAGGCUGGACUGAACUACUCCAAGUGGAAUGAGGUAGGAGCUGUAUUGCAGGGGACACACAUCAAAUUAGAGAGCAUGUGUUAAUUCUGCAGCUAAGAUAUGUCCCUGGGAAAAAAUCACUAGUGACCAGAUUUUGCUUUUUACUUGUGCAGCUUCUCUGCUACAGGGUUACUGUAUAAAAAGCAGAAUCCUGGAAAAUCUAUGGAGAAAAAUUUUUGUUGAUUUGACUUGAAAGAAUACUUCGAACCUGGCCAUGCAACAAUGUACCCUAAUCUUCAUGUUUUAGUCCAAAGCAUGUUGGGUCUAUUUUCUUGAAAAAUAUAUUUAUUUACAACAAUUUAAAGUAAGUGAAGGAGGGUGUAAAACGUGACUGCUCUCAUGUGGUAGUGUUUCACACCCACAGGUGUAACAGGUGCAAGUGACUAUACAAGAUGCAGGACAAGAAAAAUCCAGGACAGUUGUUGUUAGGUCCAAGCCAUGACCUUUGUCAAGAUUCUUGAGCUUGUCUACCAUUGAAAAUACUAAUUGGUGGAAGUGUACAAUAAACCCCUCAGUGGAAACUCA
rnacentral:lncRNA from 1 species